UUAAGAAGCACCGGCUAACUACGUGCCAGCAGCCGCGGUAAUACGUAGGGUGCGAGCGUUGUCCGGAAUUACUGGGCGUAAAGAGCUCGUAGGUGGUUUGUUGCGUCGUCUGUGAAAUUCCGGGGCUUAACUUCGGGGUGGCAGGCGAUACGGGCAUAACUAGAGUGCUGUAGGGGAGACUGGAAUUCCUGGUGUAGCGGUGGAAUGCGCAGAUAUCAGGAGGAACACCGAUGGCGAAGGCAGGUCUCUGGGCAGUAACUGACGCUGAGGAGCGAAAGCAUGGGGAGCGAACAGGAUUAGAUACCCUGGUAGUCCAUGCUGUAAACGGUGGGCGUUAGGUGUGGGGACCGGUUUGGUUUCUGUGCCGUAGCUAACGCAUUAAGCGCCCCGCCUGGGGAGUACGGCCGCAAGGCUAAAACUCAAAGGAAUUGACGGGGGCCCGCACAAG
rnacentral:rRNA from 1 species